rnacentral:rRNA from 1 species
UGGGGAAUAUUGCACAAUGGGGGAAACCCUGAUGCAGCGACGCCGCGUGAGCGAAGAAGGUUUUCGAAUCGUAAAGCUCUGUCCUAUGAGAAGAUAAUGACGGUAUCAUAGGAGGAAGCCCCGGCUAAAUACGUGCCAGCGGCCGCGGUAAUACGUAUGGGGCGAGCGUUGUCCGGAAUUAUUGGGCGUAAAGGGUACGUAGGCGGUCUAUUAAGUCAGGUGUGAAAGCGUGAGGCUUAACCUCAUUAAGCACUUGAAACUGAUAGACUUGAGUGAAGGAGAGGAAAGUGGAAUUCCUAGUGUAGCGGUGAAAUGCGUAGAUAUUAGGAGGAAUACCGGUGGCGAAGGCGACUUUCUGGACUUUUACUGACGCUCAGGUACGAAAGCGUGGGGAGCAAACAGG